UGCGUAGGCGGACUAAUAAGUCAGUGGUGAAAUCUCUCGGCUCAACCGGGAAACUGCCAUUGAUAUUGUUAGUCUUGAGUUCGGUUGAGGUAGGCGGAAUGUGUAAUGUAGCGGUGAAAUGCUUAGAUAUUACACAGAACACCAAUUGCGUAGGCAGCUUACUAGACCGACACUGACGCUGAGGCACGAAAGCGUGGGUAGCGAACAGGAUUAGAUACCCUGGUAGUCC
rnacentral:rRNA from 1 species